GAUGAAGCCCAGCUUGCUGGGUGGAUUAGUGGCGAACGGGUGAGUAACACGUGAGUAACCUGCCCUUAACUCUGGGAUAAGCCUGGGAAACUGGGUCUAAUACCGGAUAGGAGCGCCUACCGCAUGGUGGGUGUUGGAAAGAUUUAUCGGUUUUGGAUGGACUCGCGGCCUAUCAGCUUGUUGGUGAGGUAAUGGCUCACCAAGGCGACGACGGGUAGCCGGCCUGAGAGGGUGACCGGCCACACUGGGACUGAGACACGGCCCAGACUCCUACGGGAGGCAGCAGUGGGGAAUAUUGCACAAUGGGCGCAAGCCUGAUGCAGCGACGCCGCGUGAGGGAUGACGGCCUUCGGGUUGUAAACCUCUUUCAGUAGGGAAGAAGCGAAAGUGACGGUACCUGCAGAAGAAGCACCGGCUAACUACGUGCCAGCAGCCGCGGUAAUACGUAGGGUGCGAGCGUUAUCCGGAAUUAUUGGGCGUAAAGAGCUCGUAGGCGGUUUGUCGCGUCUGUCGUGAAAGUCCGGGGCUUAACCCCGGAUCUGCGGUGGGUACGGGCAGACUAGAGUGCAGUAGGGGAGACUGGAAUUCCUGGUGUAGCGGUGGAAUGCGCAGAUAUCAGGAGGAACACCGAUGGCGAAGGCAGGUCUCUGGGCUGUAACUGACGCUGAGGAGCGAAAGCAUGGGGAGCGAACAGGAUUAGAUACCCUGGUAGUCCAUGCCGUAAACGUUGGGCACUAGGUGUGGGGACCAUUCCACGGUUUCCGCGCCGCA
rnacentral:rRNA from 1 species